GCUCUUUCCUCCUUUCUGAGCACACCUGGCUCAGCAGCUGCUCGCAGGACCAGGGAUCUGUGUGCCUGCAGGGUGGGAUCAGCAGCCUCUGAGCCAAGUGAGUGAAGUGGAAGUCACCUUGCAUUAUUUUUCCUUUUUUUUUUUUUUUUCUUUUUGACUCUGAUCCUUCUCGAGCUGGAGUCCAGCCAGUUUUCACUCUCUCAAUGUGGCUGUGGUGAGGAGGAGGAACAGGACCCUAGAGUGGUACAUAUGCAGCAGAGGCUCAUUUGGACUGUGCAUUUUGAUGUUUCUCUCAGAGCUGAAAACAUCUUGACAACACAAACUGUGAGACUAAAAUAUGAUUUCUGGCAGUGUCCAACUCUGACACACUGCCCAGGAGAGUAAGUUGUGACUUUUUGGCAUCAUUUCCAUUUGUAACUUCAUUUCUGCAUCUGAUUUUAUCCCCUGAAGAACAAAGCUAUUAUAUUCCAUGAGACUACACCAGCAAAAAGACAUUGAAGUGAGUAGAAAACCAGGCCAGGAAUUUGGAAAUGUUUUUAUUGCAUUGACACAUUUUGAUUUAAUGUUCUUUUUUUAAACCAUUCACUUGUGCAAAAUAUCAUUAUUGCAAAACAAAUGGAACCAUCACAUAUAUGAAUGGAAGAGGACAUUGCUGUCAAUCUUAAUAUUCUUCAUUGCUUCAUCCUUAGCAAUCACUGUUGCUAAUUUUGUAACUUUUAAGGAAAAGUUGUUUUUACUUAUCUGUUAUUCAAGUUGAUUCUGGGCAAUUUUAACCCACGACAGAUACCCCACUCUGUCAGAGGAGGAACUCUGGGCUCCUAAAAUGACCUAAUCCAGGGAGUUAUCCCACAGGAACCAAGUGGGAAUGUUUCCAGAGGGAUAGGGAAGCACUCAGUUAUCCCCACUUGGGUCACCCAUGGCUGGCACCUCCUCUGGCAGGAGAGACCCCUCCUCUCUUUGGAAAACCAAAAA